rnacentral:rRNA from 1 species
CCUACGGGGGGCAGCAGUGGGGAAUAUUGGACAAUGGGGGGAACCCUGAUCCAGCGACGCCGCGUGAGUGAAGAAGUAUUUCGGUAUGUAAAGCUCUAUCAGCAGGGAAGAAAAUGACGGUACCUGACUAAGAAGCCCCGGCUAACUACGUGCCCGCAGCCGCGGUAAUACGUAGGGGGCAAGCGUUAUCCGGAUUUACUGGGUGUAAAGGGAGCGUAGACGGUGUAGCAAGUCUGAUGUGAAAGGUUUCGGCCCAACCCCGGGACUUCCAUUGAAACUGUUGAACUGGAGUACAGUCGAGGUAAGCGGAAUUCCUGGUGUAGCGGUGAAAUGCGUAGAUAUCAGGAGGAACACCAAUUGCGAAGGCGGCUUACUAAACUGUAACUGACAUUGAGGCUCGAAAGCGUGGGGAGCAAACAGGAUUAGAUACCCCAGUAGUC